rnacentral:rRNA from 1 species
UAACGCGUGGGUAACCUGCCCUGUACAGGGGGAUAACAAUCAGAAAUGACUGCUAAUACCGCAUAAGACCACAGCACCGCAUGGUGCAGGGGUAAAAACUCCGGUGGUACAGGAUGGACCCGCGUCUGAUUAGCUGGUUGGUGAGGUAACGGCUCACCAAGGCGACGAUCAGUAGCCGGCUUGAGAGAGUGAACGGCCACAUUGGGACUGAGACACGGCCCAAACUCCUACGGGAGGCAGCAGUGGGGAAUAUUGCACAAUGGGGGAAACCCUGAUGCAGCGACGCCGCGUGAGUGAAGAAGUAUCUCGGUAUGUAAAGCUCUAUCAGCAGGGAAGAAAAUGACGGUACCUGACUAAGAAGCCCCGGCUAACUACGUGCCAGCAGCCGCGGUAAUACGUAGGGGGCAAGCGUUAUCCGGAAUUACUGGGUGUAAAGGGUGCGUAGGUGGUAUGGCAAGUCAGAAGUGAAAACCCAGGGCUUAACUCUGGGACUGCUUUUGAAACUGUCAGACUAGAGUGCAGGAGAGGUAAGCGGAAUUCCUAGUGUAGCGGUGAAAUGCGUAGAUAUUAGGAGGAACAUCAGUGGCGAAGGCGGCUUACUGGACUGAAACUGACACUGAGGCACGAAAGCGUGGGGAGCAAACAGGAUUAGAUACCCUGGGUAGUCCACGCCGUAAACGAUGAAUACUAGGUGU